GGAGAUCAUUAAUACAAAAGUAUUAUAUAAACCAAACCUGAUGUUGCCAGCUCCUUCAAUGAAUGCAGCAGUGUGACAGCCAACAAUCAAAAGUAACAAGAUAUCGAGGAAAUGCAGAAGGCAAAAAACUGCGUAGGAGAUCAUUAAUACAAUAGUAUUAUAUAAACCAAGCCUGAUGUUGGCCGCUCAUUCAAAGAAUGCAGCAGUGUGACAGCCAGCAAUCAAAAGUAACAAGAUGUCGAGGAAAUGCAGAGUGUAAUAAACUGUGUAGGAGAUUAUGAUUGCAAUAGAAUAAAAUCGACCAAGCCUGAAGUCCUUCAAUGCACGCAGCAGUGUGACAGCCAGCAAUCAAAAGUUACAAGAUAUCGAGGAAAUACAGAAGGCAAAGAAGCAGAUGUCAUCAAAGAAGAUCUUUGUUCCUGCAAUGUUUCCGCAGACGAUACAUCCAACAGAGCGAAGUGGAAGGAAAAGACUCGGAAUAAAGACCCCACCACCAUAUGGGAACAAUGCAAGGGAGAGAGAGAGAAUAUAAUGUUAUAUUUUUAUUUUUUGAUAACAUAAAAUAAA
rnacentral:lncRNA from 1 species